rnacentral:rRNA from 1 species
GACGAACGCUGGCGGCGUGCUUAACACAUGCAAGUCGAACGGAAAGGCCCUGCUUUUUUCGGGUGCUCGAGUUGCGAACGGGUGAGUAACACGGGGGUAAUCUGCCCUUGACAUUGUGCUAACUUCAGGAAACUAGGACUAAUACCGGAAAAGUGCUCCCUCAUCAUGGUUGGGUUUGGAAUGCUUCGGCGGUUGGGGAUGGACCGGCGGGUUAUCAGCUUGUUGGUGGGGUAGUGGCUGACCAAGUCUUUGCCGGAUAACCGGCCUGAGAGGGUGAGUGGCCAGAUUGGGACUGAGAGACGGACGGGACUACUACGGGCGGGAGGAGUGAGGAAUAAUGAAUAAUGGGCGGAAGCAUGAUGCAGCAACGCAGCGUGCGGGAUGAAGGCAGGCGGGUUGUAAGCCGCGUUCGGCUGUGAGGAAGGGUGAGUGACGGUAAUGGGUAAGGAAGCCCCGGCUAACUACGUG